rnacentral:rRNA from 1 species
UACGUAGGGUGCAAGCGUUAAUCGGAAUUACUGGGCGUAAAGCGUGCGCAGGCGGUCCGUUAAGACAGAUGUGAAAUCCCCGGGCUUAACCUGGGAACUGCAUUUGUGACUGGCGGACUCGAGUAUGGCAGAGGGGGGGUAGAAUUCCACGUGUAGCAGUGAAAUGCGUAGAGAUGUGGAGGAAUACCGAUGGCGAAGGCAGCCCCCUGGGCCAAUACUGACGCUCAUG